GAUCAAGUGCCUUAAGAGCAUUCAGUGGAUGCCUUGGCGCUGAGAGGCGAUGAAAGACGUGAUACGCUGCGAUAAGCUGCGGGGAGCUGCGAAUAAGCUUUGAUCCGUGGAUUUCUGAAUGGGGAAACCCGACCGUAAGGUCACCCGAAAGGGAGCUAACCCGGGGAACUGAAAUAUCUAAGUACCCGGAGGAAAGGACAUCAACCGAGACUCCGCUAGUAGUGACGAGCGAACGCGGACCAGGCGACCAGUGAAACUUACCAGAACGGUCUGGAAAGACCGGCCAUAGCGGGUGACAGCCCCGUAUGGGACAAGCCAAGCUGGCAUAUCAAGUAGGGCGGGACACGUGAAAUCCUGUUCGAAGAUGGGGGGACCACCCUCCAAGCCUAAGUACUCCUCAGCGACCGAUAGCGAACAAGUACCGUGAGGGAAAGGUGAAAAGCACCCCGACGAGGGGAGUGAAAUAGUUCCUGAAACUGGAUGCUUACAAUCAGUCGGAGCCCGCAAGGGUGACGGCGUACCUUUUGUAUAAUGGGUCAUCGACUUAGUCUAACUAGCAAGCUUAAGCCGUUAGGUGUAGGCGCAGCGAAAGCGAGUCUGAAUAGGGCGACUUAGUUAGUUGGAUUAGACCCGAAACCGGGUGAUCUAGCCAUGUGCAGGUUGAAGAUAAGGUAACACUUAUUGGAGGACCGAACCCACGUCUGUUGAAAAAGACGGGGAUGACGUGUGGCUAGGGGUGAAAGGCCAAUCAAACUCGGAAAUAGCUGGUUCUCCGCGAAAUCUAUUUAGGUAGAGCGUUGGACGAAUACCGUGGGGGGUAGAGCACUACAUGGGCUAGGGGGACUCACCGUCUUACCAAACCUAAGUAAACUCCGAAUACCCACGAGUACUAUCCAGCAGACAGACGGCGGGUGCUAACGUCCGUCGUCAAGAGGGAAACAACCCUGACCUACAGCUAAGGUCCCCAAGUCAUGGCUAAGUGGGAAAGCAUGUGGGAUUGCAUAGACAACCAGGAGGUUGGCUUAGAAGCAGCCAUCCUUUAAAGAUAGCGUAACAGCUCACUGGUCAAGCGAUCCUGCGGCGAAGAUGUAACGGGUCUAAAGCCAUGCACCGAAGCUUAGGGUGUGCAGCUUGCUGCACGCGGUAGCGGAGCGUUCCGUAAGCCUGUGAAGCGGUACCUGUGAGGGGCCGUGGAGGUAUCGGAAGUGCGAAUGAUGACAUGAGUAGCGACAAAGAGUGUGAGAGACACUCUCGCCGAAAGUCCAAGGGUUCCUGCGCAAUGCUAAUCAGCGCAGGGUUAGCCGGCCCCUAAGUCGAGGCGGAAACGCGUAGACGAUGGGAACCACGUUAAUAUUCGUGGGCCAGGUGGUAGUGACGGAUUCGAAAGUCUGUGUGUCCUUAUCGGAUUGGAUGCGCAGUGGAC
rnacentral:rRNA from 1 species